rnacentral:lncRNA from 1 species
AACCGAGAACAGAAAAAGAGGUUCGUGGUCUAUUAGGUAGAUUGAACUACAUGUCAUGGUUCACAUCUCCUCUAACAGCCACGUGUGAACCUAUACUCAAGCUGUUGAAAAAAAAAGAGAUCAAACGGUCAGGUGAAAUAAUGAUUGCCAAGGGGCAGUGAGAGAUAAAAGAAUAAGUUGCAGGAGCCUCCGAUUCUGAUGUCUCCCUGUGGAGGGACGACCAUCAA